UGCAGAGGCUGGAAAAAGUGC
rnacentral:piRNA from 1 species